rnacentral:rRNA from 1 species
UACGUAGGUGGCAAGCGUUGUUCGGAAUUAUUGGGCGUAAAGGGCGCGUAGGCGGUUUGUUAAGUCAGCUGUGAAAGCCCGGGGCUCAACCCCGGAGGGUCAGUUGAUACUGGCAGACUAGAGUACAGAAGAGGUAACUGGAAUUCCCGGUGUAGCGGUGAAAUGCGUAGAUAUCAGGAGGAACACCUGAGGCGAAGGCGGGUUACUGGGCUGAUACUGACGCUGAUGCGCGAAAGCCAGGGGAGCAAACGGG